ACCUGCGGAAGGAUCAUUGUCGUGACCCUGACCAAAAGAGAUCGUGAACUUGUCAUCUAUCUUACUAGGUGAUGGGGUAGCACCUGUCUCCUAGUAUUGGUGACUUACCUUCCUUAGGGAUGGUGAGUGGCCACAAAAGAACCCCGGCGCCGUGUGGCGUCAAGGAACACAAAUGUUGCCUUGCUUGGUGUAAUGUCUGGCUUGCUGGAUGUGAAUCAAGCAUUGAUGCUAUAUAUUAAUCCACAUGACUCUCGGCAACGGAUAUCUCGGCUCUCGCAUCGAUGAAGAACGUAGCAAAAUGCGAUACCUGGUGUGAAUUGCAGAAUCCCGUGAACCAUCGAGUUUUUGAACGCAAGUUGCGCCCGAGGCCUUUUGGUUGAGGGCACGUCUGCCUGGGCGUCACGCCAAAAGACACUCCCUACCCAAUUUGGUGGUGGAUGUGGUGUUUGGCUCCUCGUGCCGUCGGUGCGGUGGGCCAAAGUAGGGGAUACCGGCAGUGCAUCUCACAGCACAAGGUGGAUGGCACAGGUUAUUCUCGGUGCUGUGAUGCUGUAUUUGAUUCCGGUGUUACAACAUCCCAUGGACUCAUACAUCGAGAUGCAAGUCACUUGAACCGCGACCCCAGGUCAGUCGGGAUUACCCGCUGAAUUUAAGCAUAUCAAUAAGCGG
rnacentral:rRNA from 1 species